rnacentral:rRNA from 1 species
CUGGCGGGGAAUCGGCUUAGUCGAAUAAAAUUCUAGAUAGAAUAGUGAUUAUGACAAUUUUCUAUCUAAAUGUCUUGACCAAGUCACGUGCCAGCAGUCGCGGUAAUACGUGGAAGACUAGUGUUAUUCAUCUUUAAUAGGUUUAAAGGGUACCUAGACGGUAUUUCUAGCCCCAAAAGGGUACGGAUUUACUAGAGUUUUAUGUGAGAGGCAAAUAUUAGUACUAUUGGUGUAGAGAUGAAAUUCUUUGAUACUACUAGGACUGGUGGCGGCGAAAGCAACCCUCUAAGUAUAAACUGACGUUGAGGGACGAAGGCUUGGGUAGCGAAUAGGAUUAGAUACCCUAGUAGUCCAGGCAGAAAAUUAUGAGUGCCAUAGACUAGAUUAAAUAUUUUGGUCUAUAAAUGAAAGUGUAAGCAUUCCACCUCAAGAGUAAUGUGGCAACGCAGGAACUGAAAUCAUUAGACCGUUUCUGAAACCAGUAGUGAAGUAUGUUAUUUAAUUCGAUAACCCUCGAAAAACCUUACCACAAUUUGAAUGUAAUACAUUAAGUAGUCUAAUAAUUGUCUAGUCAACAAUUCUAUGACAUGAAGUAGUCUAAUAAUUGUCUACUCAACUAUUUCAUGUAUUAACACAAGCGUUGCACGGCUGUCUUCAGUUAAUGUCGUGAGAACUUGGUUAGAUCCAUUAAAUUAACGUAAUCCCUUUCGUUAGUUCUCUGAACUAAUGAAGUUCACCGCUAUAU